UAGAGUUUGAUCCUGGCUCAGAUUGAACGCUGGCGGCAGGCCUAACACAUGCAAGUCGAACGGUAGCACAGAGAGCUUGCUCUCGGGUGACGAGUGGCGGACGGGUGAGUAAUGUCUGGGAAACUGCCUGAUGGAGGGGGAUAACUACUGGAAACGGUAGCUAAUACCGCAUAACGUCGCAAGACCAAAGAGGGGGACCUUCGGGCCUCUUGCCAUCAGAUGUGCCCAGAUGGGAUUAGCUAGUAGGUGGGGUAACGGCUCACCUAGGCGACGAUCCCUAGCUGGUCUGAGAGGAUGACCAGCCACACUGGAACUGAGACACGGUCCAGACUCCUACGGGAGGCAGCAGUGGGGAAUAUUGCACAAUGGGCGCAAGCCUGAUGCAGCCAUGCCGCGUGUAUGGAGAAGGCCUUCGGGUUGUAAAGUACUUUCAGCGGGGAGGAAGGUGUUGUGGUUAAUAACCACAGCAAUUGACGUUACCCGCAGAAGAAGCACCGGCUAACUCCGUGCCAGCAGCCGCGGUAAUACGGAGGGUGCAAGCGUUAAUCGGAAUUACUGGGCGUAAAGCGCACGCAGGCGGUCUGUCAAGUCGGAUGUGAAAUCCCCGGGCUCAACCUGGGAACUGCAUUCGAAACUGGCAGGCUAGAGUCUUGUAGAGGGGGGUAGAAUUCCAGGUGUAGCGGUGAAAUGCGUAGAGAUCUGGAGGAAUACCGGUGGCGAAGGCGGCCCCCUGGACAAAGACUGACGCUCAGGUGCGAAAGCGUGGGGAGCAAACAGGAUUAGAUACCCUGGUAGUCCACGCCGUAAACGAUGUCGACUUGGAGGUUGUGCCCUUGAGGCGUGGCUUCCGGAGCUAACGCGUUAAGUCGACCGCCUGGGGAGUACGGCCGCAAGGUUAAAACUCAAAUGAAUUGACGGGGGCCCGCACAAGCGGUGGAGCAUGUGGUUUAAUUCGAUGCAACGCGAAGAACCUUACCUACUCUUGACAUCCAGAGAACUUUCCAGAGAUGGAUUGGUGCCUUCGGGAACUCUGAGACAGGUGCUGCAUGGCUGUCGUCAGCUCGUGUUGUGAAAUGUUGGGUUAAGUCCCGCAACGAGCGCAACCCUUAUCCUUUGUUGCCAGCGGUCCGGCCGGGAACUCAAAGGAGACUGCCAGUGAUAAACUGGAGGAGGGUGGGGAUGACGUCAAGUCAUCAUGGCCCUUACGAGUAGGGCUACACACGUGCUACAAUGGCGCAUACAAAGAGAAGCGAACUCGCGAGAGCAAGCGGACCUCAUAAAGUGCGUCGUAGUCCGGAUUGGAGUCUGCAACUCGACUCCAUGAAGUCGGAAUCGCUAGUAAUCGUAGAUCAGAAUGCUACGGUGAAUACGUUCCCGGGCCUUGUACACACCGCCCGUCACACCAUGGGAGUGGGUUGCAAAAGAAGUAGGUAGCUUAACCUUCGGGAGGGCGCUUACCACUUUGUGAUUCAUGACUGGGGUGAAGUCGUAACAAGGUAGCC
rnacentral:rRNA from 1 species